UUUUAUGCUAAUGUGAGUUUUGUGCUUCUAAAAAAAGAUAUAGGUAUAAUAUAACCUCAUUUAGGCAAUUAAACUUAUUUGGGAUUUAUUUAUAUGCAGUCGUUAGUGUGUCGAUGUCUUUAUUAAAGGUUUGCUAACUACCUAAAAUCUAUUAUGGAUAAAUAAAAAAAAUGACAUUUCUCGAUCUUAACUGUUGAUUAGAGUUGUAGAGUGGUGUCUACAAACAGACAUAAUGCCAGCUGUCGUGGUUGUAGACAGACCUCCCCAGAGGAGUGAAGCCAUGUGGUUGGCUCUCAAGGCACACAUAAUCAGGGAACGACAAAAGAAAAAACAAGAACAAGAAGCAGAUGCUGAGGUGGAACGACAACGUAAAGAGAGGGAACGUCAACAGAAGCAAGACAAAAUGACUCUGGGAGAGACUCGGGAACAGAUUUCUCAGUUGGAGCAGAGACUGCAACAGCUGAAGGAAGAGAAACAUCAGCUGUUUCUGCAGCUCAAGAAAGUAUUGAAUGAAGAUGAUAACAGGAGAAGGCAGCUUGUUAAGGAAUCCAACGAUGUCAUGGAGAUGUACGGCUACCCAGGAGUGGCCUUGGGAAAUCCACAGCUGUUCCUUCAACAGAAUAUUCCCCUGACCAACCGCAACCCCCUUUACAAAGUGCCACCCUCGCACACUCUACUGCAAGCGGGAACACUGAAGAGAAGAAGAAGUCCUUCUCCUGCCAACUACCCACAAUACGGCACAUACAAGCCAGCCACCAGCCAGGCCACAUACCAGAAAGUGGAGGACAGAAGCAGAGGUCAUGAGUACGUGCGUGCGGUUUUGUGGAAUAAGCCCUACGGUUUGACCGAGAGUAGUCAGUAUGGACCAUUCUACACAACCUCCACGACCAUGAGUUACUCUGCAGCCCCCGCUCCUACCCAGGCACAGACUGUGUACACGUAUGGCGGACCGCAGUUUCAGGCCUCGUCUAGCAGUUCGGCUGCCCCGCCUCCGGCCACAGAGACCACCAACCCCACACCCAAACACCACUACAUGGCUCAACAACGGCCCCACAACCCAUCUUAUCUUCAUGUGACGAUUGAUGCUAAACAACCUUUUCCGGAGGAGAACUUCUACUCCCCCGCUCAGAUCCGGCCGGCUACUCAUGUACCGUUGCAUGGCGGAGCAAUUCCAAUACAGCAACCUCCUCAGGGAGCCAAAACUGGAGGGAUAACUUCAGGCUAUCCGAUCCGACCUCCAGCCUCCGCACCGACUGCUACCACUCCACAUAGUGUGUACGUGAGCCAGCCGUCGAGUGGCAGUCGGCUGGUGUACAGCCAGUCGGUUACAACACAGCCAGCCGGUUUAUCGAACAUCCGGUACAGUGUCCCACCCAUGCAGAGGGAGGCAUAGACCAGGGAGCGUUCCGUAGUUUACCUGUGCACAUUAAAAACGUCAGCUGUUUCUCAGAAAUAAAUAUGACGAAACUCAUUCAUACUAUUACUCCCAGUUCACCCCUUCAUUGGUUAGUAUCGGUGUAAGAAAAUCGUAGUUCUUAGUGUUUAACGUAGAUUCCGUCAAUAUGGUCAUCUAGGACUUUCCUUGCAGCAUAGAAACUACACACAGACCAAUACCGCCCUGGAAAUAUAUCGAAGUAAUCAAUGUGGAGCAAUUAUCUGCAAUGAUAAAUUAGAUGCUGGUAUUACGGACAACAGCGUUGUUGAAUAAAAGAAACAUGACUUUUCAGGACUGAAACGUAAACUCUUCAACAAACGGCGAUAAACACAUGAAAGUCAAAGUUAAGUUCAAAAAGCUUCUUUGAAAAAAACGCCUGAACUCAGCAUCACGUUAAAAGCACAAACGAAUAAUCAUUACACAACACAGAUGCACCAGUGAAAUACGUGCUGCAUGCAUCACAGGAAAGUCUGUGACGAGGAAGUCACUUGUAGUCAUGGGAGCCUGAUUAGCGAUUGCGACAUACUAUGGUAUUGAAGGGGGGGGGGAGGGGAGUAAAAAAUACAGCCCAUUGUUUACUCAUCUCUCCAUAUACCUUAAUGUCAUUAUGUGCACCUAUAUUAUUUUGAAUGAGGUUUCUUUAACUUUAUUGUUUUAUUGUUUGUUUUAAUGUCCUACUUAAUCCUUUUUCUUAUUAUAGGUCAAGUAUUGGGCUUGACUUCAACAGAUCGACAUUGUGAUUGGUCUGCUAGUUGUAUGUAUGAAGGGUGAAUUUUUUUGUAUAACAAUGUUUACUUCUUGAUGUUCUCAUCCCACUUCAUGUAAUGAUUUUUAAACUAGUAAUGUUUUAAUUUAUAAUAAAUAAUUGACGUAAAAAAAUAGAUGGUAGUGGCAAACAAAUGUAUAAAAUUUUGUUCUUCUAUUGUGUCAAUAACUUUUCUGAAUUUCAAAAUGAAAUGAGAACAAAAUUUAAUUAUGAUAAUGUAAGCAAGAAAAUAGUAUUGUAGGAAUUAAUUAUUUUUUUACUAUUUUAAAAUAUUUAGGUUGUGAAAUUUUAUUUUACAGCUAAAAAUCCUGUAGUGGCAGGCUAUUUUUGGUCAGUUUAUGAGCACUUAUUCUAAAUUAUCCCUACACUUCAAAUACUGUUUUUAUCUUUAUAUUAAUAGUAGUUUUUUUAUGUAAUAUCUGUAGAAUUAUAAAACAUACUAAUAAAUAUAAUUUGUUGAUAUACAUAUUUUUCACAUUAGAUGAAACUUGAAAUUAAAGAAAUAAAUUUGUUAGUAGGGAAUUAGGCAACAAGUAAUUGUAGGGAAUUAGGCUUCAUAGUUGUUUAACUAUGUUUACCAUUCAUCACGUAAUAAAUCAAAUUCAACCAUAGAAAUAAAUGUUUUACUAAAAGAAAAUAAGGGCACAGUAAUUUUGCACUCAGUUAGAAGAUGGGAACGACAACAACAAAUGAUCGUAAAUAACAGCUGUUUAGAAGAGAGAAUAAGAACAAAAAAGGGUUUUAGCUGAGAAAAAACUCUUCGUCGUUUCAGUGGUACUUAAAUAUCAUAGCUAAACUUGAUAUUAAAUGUUAUAUCAAAUUAAUCAUUUGUCGAUGUCAUGAUGUUCAAUUUUAACGACUGCCAUUACAGCAGCGGUUCAUGUCGUUGAAAAUUGAACGACUGCCAACUUCAAGGUUAAGAACCAUCAUGAUUUUAUUCCAUAAGAACAAGAUUCACCCAUGUUUACAUCUUUAUUUUUAUAUAAUUGGGAGAUGUCUCAUUUAAAAAAUAUAAUUAAGACGCUUUAUUAAAAAAAAAAUGUUUUAUGGCUUAUUUUUAAACAUAUCUCAAAUUGUAUUUUUAUGAUUUGCAUUAAACUAGAAUAAAAUGAUUUGUAUUCCCUUUUUUAUGUUGGAUGUCUCCUUGCGUGUAUAUAUUUUUGUUAUGUGGUACCGUAAUUUUAAUUUUGUGUUCAGUUUUUAACAAUUUUGACAACCAAUUUGUGAACGGGACAAUAUUCCUGGAACUAGUCUCCCCAGUAAAAGAAAUUUAAUUUAUAACUGUAAAGGAAUGAGACAUCUUCCUUAACUCUAUGAGAAAAAAUAAACCUGUAAAUGCGUUUUGAGAUUUAACUGUGUUCUUAUGGAGUAAAACUCAAGACAACUGGUGAGCUGCUCUUCUGCAAAUGUCUCAUGAAUUUUAUAAUGUCCCUAUAGUCUGUAUAAUCAAUAGUACCAUUUCUUGUGAUUUAUUUAUGUGAGUAAGAUAUUUGUAUGUAUUUAAUACAUUACAAACUUUUCAACUUAGUUUUUCAGCAAUUUUUUGUGUACAAAAAUGAAUGCUAUUAAUUGGUUUCUCUGGAUAUUUGAUUACAUUUUAUGAAAUGUAUGUUUUGACAUUAAAUAUGAGGCACGUCCAGGAAGUAAGUGUACUGGUACUCUCACAGCUGCAGGGAAUACAUUUUUGACAUGUUGGCAAUACUGCCGCGUAGCCUGAAUCCUCCACUUCAAAACGAGACCAAUCCGAAGUUAGAGUGUUGAAAACUCCUGACACAGUAACAUCUCUCGCGAAAAAUGUCGAUUGUAUCUCCCGCCAAGUGUGAAAUCCGCGCCGACAUUGUCUCAAUUGAAGUUUUCUAGCCUGAAAACUUGUCUCAAUUGAAAAAAACAUGCAUCCUUACAAUUCCCCUAAGAGGGGAUAAUUUUCGGCUGGUUUAUAUCUGCUUCAGAGUUAGUGCUUCUUCCAAGGUGAUAUGAUGGAGAUUGUGUCCACCUCAAGGUGGGAAUAAUCUGUCCACAAUUUUGAAAAAAUCUGACAUUAAAAAAUGUAAAUGGUUUAAUAAAUAUUUUGAUUGAUAAGUUGAAUUAAAUACAUUUGACAAUUUUAUUAUUGUUUAGGUACAAUUCGUUUAUUAAUUUUGUGUUAAUUUAGAUGGAAGAAAAUGUAGUGCAGUUAGUUUUAGUUACUUUUAUAACCUCGAUUCAAAUGUUUUACUGUGUUUAUGUUGAUUAAAGUGAUUUGUAUCUGAAUAUGGGA
rnacentral:misc_RNA from 1 species